rnacentral:rRNA from 1 species
GCACUCCUACGGAGGCAGCAGUGGGGAAUAUUGCACAAUGGGCGCAAGCCUGAUGCAGCCAUGCCGCGUGUAUGAAGAAGGCCUUCGGGUUGUAAAGUACUUUCAGCAGUGAGGAAGGUGGGUAUGUUAAUAGCAUACUCAUUUGACGUUAGCUGCAGAAGAAGCACCGGCUAACUCCGUGCCAGCAGCCGCGGUAAUACGGAGGGUGCGAGCGUUAAUCGGAAUUACUGGGCGUAAAGCGCAUGCAGGUGGUUUGUUAAGUCAGAUGUGAAAGCCCGGGGCUCAACCUCGGAAUUGCAUUUGAAACUGGCAAACUAGAGUACUGUAGAGGGGGUAGAAUUUCAGGUGUAGCGGUGAAAUGCGUAGAGAUCUGAAGGAAUACCGGUGGCGAAGGCGGCCCCCUGGACAGAUACUGACACUCAGAUGCGAAAGCGUGGGGAGCAAACAGGAUUAGAUACCCCUGGUAG